rnacentral:tRNA from 1 species
GGAAGCGUGGCCGAGUGGUUUAAGGCAACGGUCUUGAAAACCGUCGAUGGGCGACUAUCCUAGAGUUCGAAUCUCUACGCUUCCGCCA